UAAAUUACAAAAUCGUCCUUUAUGUUAACACUAGAUUGCAAAGUGUGUCUUUUAUCUUCAAAAAGUACAAAAAACAUACUCGAUGUUUGCAAACCGCUACACAUUAUGUCCUUUAUCCCUAACUUAGUUAUUUUUCAUUGUUAAGUGGGUGUGAAAUGACCUAAAUACCCUUACUGUUAAAUAAAUAACUAAAAAUUAAAAAAAUAUAAUUAAUUGUGAGACCCACCACUCCCUCUUCAUCUUCCCUAGUCUUCCCCACCCCCACCCCCACCUUUCACCACCACCACCACCACCUCACUCUCUCACCAUCAUCUACAACCUCAUCCAACACUAUCACUGUCACCAUCAUAUUCAACCUUGAAAGAUGUAACUAAUUUAAAUAUCUAAUAUACCGUGACUUCCAAAAUAAUCACUAUCACAAUCUUUUGAAACCUUGGGACAAAUUUCAAAGUAUAUGAUUAAACCUUAACUAGUAAACCUGGUAACCAUGAACAGAACUAUCAGAUUCAACCUUCACCAUCAUCUUCAACCAAAGAUGUCACCAUCAGUAUUCUUAUCAAUCUCAAAUUCACCUUUAACUACUAAACAAUUGAAAAUAAAAAACAACGAAUCUAAAUUACCGAAGCGGAAAUGGGACCGGCGUAUACGACGGUGGUGCGGCGGACGUGGUGCCGGAAUAUUCUGCUUUUGAAGUCGUCAAACCCUAACCGAACAACCAGAAACCCUAACUCCUAAUUCUUAUCGAUCUCAAAUUCACCUCUAGCUUCUAAACAACUGAGAAAUAGAACCAAUGAAUCGGAGUUAGCGAAGUGGAAAUCAAACCGCCGUGGUGCGGCAGAGGUGGCGGUGCCGGAAUAUUCGGUUUUUUAUAGGAAUUAGUACUCACUGUUGCAGCAUAACAGCUUCUAUUGUUGAUAGAAAUUGUUGAAAUCUGAAUAUAUGUGUUGAAUCGAGUGCUGAUUUUGAAAUUCACGAGAUGAUUUGCAUCAGUUUUGAAAAUUGAAGGUUGAAGGUUGAUCCGUAAAGUGAUCUGACAAAAAAAAGUUUGAAGGUUGAAGGUUAAUUAUAUUUCUUUUCAUUUUUUAGUUAUUUAUUUAACAGUAAGGGUAUUUAUGUCAUUUCAUACCCACUUAACAAUGAAAAAUAACUAAGUUAGGGAUAAAGGACAUAAUGUGUAGGGGUUUGCAAACAUCGAGUACGUUUUUUGUAUUUUUUUGAAGAUAAAGGACACACUUUGCAAUUUAGUAUCUACAUAAAGGACGAUUUUUGUAAUUUACUCUUUUAUCAACAUAACUGUGUUCUUAGCCUAUUACUAGACCAUAACUAUUUAGCACUCUUGUAAUUGAACUAUUAUUUAUGUAUUGAAAUUAUUAGCUAUGUUGAAUCUAAUUUUUGUGUUUUAUCUUCAUUGUUGUCACUAUUUUAUUGAAGACUUGACCAGAAGCACUUCUCAAACACAUAUGCAACCACCAAAGUAAUCUCAUUUGAAACUGACCCUUAGUUACUCUAUUUCUCCAAAUUUGACUUAUCGCACCAACAUGCAUGAGCAAAUCUGCCAGAUGAGUUUAGAAUCUAAAAUGACAGUAAUGUAGUGUUUAUGUUACAGGAUGCUUCUUCCAUCUUUUCAACUUCAAGAACCGUUGCAUGCCUACUGAUUUGGUUUACAAAUGAGAUGCAGCAGUAGGAAUGAGUGUAUCUAUAGCCGCUACAAAACUGAAUUAUUACUCUUGUUGCUGAAUGAGUGUAUAUAUAGUAGAUGCAAAACUGAAUUAUUACUUUUGAUGUUUGUUAACGAUUGUAAUCUAUGGGUGAGUCAUUUGCAGUUUUGAAAUUAAUGAUUUGAGUCAUGAAAUGUCAAGCACUCUUUAUGAGGGAGUCAUAAAAUGCUAUAACUGUGGUUGCUACAAAUUGUUUCAUAAUGUUUUCUAAAUAUUACCGGUACAUACGACCGCCUACAACUAUCAUCGAGACAUUUUCUUAAAUAAAAUUAGACUAAACUAAGUUGUAAUUGGAAUGAAUCAUUUAAAUUACCUACACAUUACUUCAGCCGUGAGACCACCACAAAUGGUGAUGUAUAAUAUGAAGACAUUAAUAUUGAAUUAAAGAUAUAAAGCCGGGUUAUGGAUAAUUAUAGUAAAAUAUUUAUUGAGUCUUUUAUCUAUCUAUAAUCUAUAACAACUAUAUAAAACAUUACCAAUGUACAAAAAGGUAAUUUCCCUCAAAAUUUUAAGACGUCAUUCCAAAGGUCAUGCGUACUUACCCUAAUUUUUCAUCCCCUCUCCCAAAUCUGCCCCCAUUAAGUUUCAGUGAUUCUUUCAACAAAAGCUAUGUAAAUUGAAGAAGCAAAUGAAAAGACAAUGAGAGCAAUUAAUCAAGAAAUCAAUUAUAGGGUGAAUUCCAAUUGAAGACGCGAAUUGAAUGUCUGUUACUCUUCGACGCUCUACAUAACCCCUAGUUUUGCUUUUGUGUACCAGGGUUCAGGAAAGUGGAUCUAGAUAGAUGGGAAUUUGUAAAUGAAGGGUUUCUUGGAGAUCAAAGGCAUAUGCUAAAAGACAAUAAGGAGAAGAAAUCUGGUUCCAUUGGCCCAACUAAAGCAGGAAUUUGGACGUGUACCGAAGUAGUAGGCCAGUAUGGGAUUGAGGAAGAACUCAAAAGGACUUAGAAGGGACAUGAGCGUGUUAAUGGUGGAAAUUGUAAGGCUGCGGCAACUACAACAACAUUCCAAAGACAAACUCAUAUCCAUGGAGAACAAGUUAAGAACCACAGAAAACAAACUUUAAGUUGUUUAAAUUGUUUUUUGAUGUCAAAAUUAAUUAACAAAUGAUGGCAAAAUGAUGUUCUUCUUCUAAUGUGACUGUAAACAAAUCGGAAAAACAAGAGAUUUACAACCUCUCUUUCUUGAAAGUAUCUGAGUACUCCACUGCCAGUCAUCCCUAGAAAACGAUCAACUCUGGCAUGAACAUUAAUUUGUAAUGGAAAAUAGAAAUAUCGUAGCUAGGUUGGAAGACUGUCCUGCAAUGCCAGUAGCGGAUAUGCUCCAGUCGCAUGGGUUCUUUAACUGCUCUCUGGCGGUAGAUGUUCCUCCCGGAGCUUAUACAUCAGAUGUGAAAGACAGUCAUGUUAAGGACACAAUUGGUCUCAAGCUGGUUUCAAAUGAGCUGAUAGCCAAGCUUUGAUUAAUCAUACACGGUGUUCCAAUAAUCAUUCACAACAAGAUUGAAAAAGCCGAAAUUUGGAGUCAACUCUACAGUGAAGACAUCAAAAAUCAGUCUAUUCCAGCAUGGCAAUUAAAUGAGAAAAUGUGAUUUUGUGUCAAUCUAUCUUUCUGCCUCUUAACCUCCAUCUGUAAACAAGAGUUAUAGCUGAGCAAUAAAAUAAAAAAUUAUCGUUGGUUUGUUCUAUCAGUGUUCAUAUGUGUCAAAUUGACGUGAGCAUCAGUAAACAUGAAUAACAAAUCAAAAAGAAAUUCACAGCCCAAGAGGACUUCAUUCCGAGAUUCUAAGGCGAGGUUAGUACAGGAGGCCUGCGACUCUGUGAGCUUUGAUCAGAGACUCAAUGGUGUGAAUCGGCUUGCUUCUGUGUUAUUUAACUUUUGGGCUUAAUUGCCUAAUUUUGUGUAUGUAAAUCUCACAUGUCUAGCUUUUUUUAUCUGUUUUUGAAUCCCGCCGCAACGCGCGGGUAAACCCACUAUGUAAUUCUAUAAAUUUGCAGCUGAUGCCGGUGAUAAAGUGCUUCAGAUUGGUGAAAGUAAUGGACGUCUUAAGUGUUUCAGAUUAGGUGGCUAACUAUAUGUUUAUGAUAAGGUGCCACCACUAAUUGUUUUGCUUCUCA